GGGGCAGUCGCACACGCAUUUGUCUCAGGUGAGCAGAUGAGUGACUUGUAGUCCUGCCUUCCUUCCCUACCUGUGAAGAUAAGCUGCUGAUUUACACUGUCAGGGUGAAAUUCAACAGAACCGUUUUAAGACAGGUGAAAGUUUAUAGAAAUGGAGUCACAUCGUAUAAAUCAAGCUUUGCAGCUGACAUGGCCUUCUUUUCCUUGCUGGCUUGCCCCCACCUGUUUCUUCUCUAUGUCACCUCCCCCUGUCUCCACCACAGGUAACACCUGGCAUGGGUCCUUCAGGGUUUCACCCACGCCCCUGUAACUAUCGGGAUCUAUGAACUGUACAACGUAUAGGCAUACCAAAGCUUUUCUGUGUUUCUUUUAUAAAUUUUGGGUCCCAGUAUUCACACUUCCCCACGCCUUCCUUUCUACACUCAUAGACUCCUCGUGGAAAUCCCACCAGGUGAGUUGGCAGGGCAGCUGUCACUCAUUCCUUUUAGUGGCUGCAUAAAACUCCAUAGAGUAGACCUAUCCCCAUUUAUUCAACCAUCCUCAGCCA
rnacentral:lncRNA from 10 species